rnacentral:misc_RNA from 1 species
UCCGGUUUGUCACCGGCAGUCCCAUUAGAGUGCUCAACUGAAUGUAGCAACUAAUGGCAAGGGUUGCGCUCGUUGCGGGACUUAACCCAACAUCUCACGACACGAGCUGACGACAGCCAUGCAGCACCUGUGUCCAGGUUCCCUUUCGGGCACCCCUCCAUCUCUGGAGGGUUCCUGGCAUGUCAAGGGUAGGUAAGGUUUUUCGCGUUGCAUCGAAUUAAAGAACACGAUCCACCGCUUGUGCGGUCCCCCGUCAAUUCCUUUAUGUUUUAGUCUUGCGACCGUACUCCACAGGCGGGAUACUUAACGCGUUAGCUUCGCUACUGAAGGGGUCGAUACCCGCAGCACCGAGCACUCAUCGUUUACAGCGUGGACUAC